GAAUACUGUAUCUUGGAAACUUAUAUAAAAACUUUGGGAGAAGUUCAAGUUGAUCAAAAUAUAUAUACUGCUACGUAUUACGUAUAUACUCCUGUGUGUGUGAGAAAGUGUGGGUGUGAGUGAGCGAGAGAAGAGCCGGGAUGAGAGGGAGGGGGGGAUGUAGCGAGAGGAAGAGCGGGUCGCCCAGGUUGACGGCUCGAGUCGGACCGGCCCUGCGCUGUGAGACGGCCUUUGCGUGACCCUACUUGCCUUCGCUCUUUAGAUCCGCACUAUUGCGAGUGCCUUCUUUACUCUGCCAUGAGACUGAGUGCCAGGACAAUGUGUGACAACAGUGAAUGACUCCUCAUCAGGCUGGACAGUAUGCUUCCCUCGUGAGCAGGUUGCAGGGACCCAGUGAAAUCCUUUCCCUAGGCCUCCGUGUGGCUUGGGAAGGAGGUGUCGGCGAGACCCCUCUCCCCUCUCCCAGGCUUUCUGUGCCCUCGGCCGGCUGGUUCAGAGUGAGGUCCGGCGAUGAGCCAUGCAGAAGUGAGGUGUGGGAGAAAAGGGCGGACUUUCAUAACAGUGGUGUCAGGAGUGGAUUGUGUCCUGUAGCUUGUUUCGCCGGGGACGCGGACAAGGUCAAGAUGGCGUACGGCUUGGCAGGAAACGAGGGAGAGGAGGACUAGCUGUUGCCACAUUGGCAGGGUUGCUUCUCCCACCCCGGAGAUAGAGCCAGACAUGCUGAUUCUCAUAGCACAGCAGUUGUCUCAGUUGUCACAUCAGAUGGAGCAGCAGACACAGAAGACAGUGAAUUAAUUGAUUAAUAUGAGUAAUUGUUUAUUGCCCAGAAUAACAUAUAUACAUAGAAGUAACAUAACAAAUAUUAGGGCAUUAGCCUGCUGAGUUUAGGCUCCCUAGCGGACAGAGAAAUAAUAUACAUAUAAAUACAAUUUAUGCAGAGGGCAGGGCAAAAUAUCUUAUCCUAUGAAAUAAUUGACAAUAUUAUUUCACCACUUUAAUUAUCAACAUCCUUAUAAUAAGUGUUAUUCAUAUGAGAACACAAUCAGAAAUGUACGAAGGAAUAAUAAAGAUUCAGUAUUAAUCUCUAGAGUUCUGAAUUAGCAUAUUGAAUAAAUACUUUUUUUUCAGUCUAAUUUUAAAAGUAUUGAAAUUACAACAAUUUUUCAUGACAUCAGGUAAUGCAUUCCUAAGUUUAGGGCCAACACAGUGUAUUGAAAACAUAUAAAGAGUUGUUCUUGCUUUUGGACAUAUCAAAUUACGAUGAUUUCCUCGGGUACCUUGACUAUGAACAUAAUAAAUAUUAUAUUAUUGGGAUCGUUAUCAUUAAUAUUUUUAUAUAUGGUCAACAUAAUAAAUAUUAUAUUAUAGGGAUCGUUAUCAUUAAUGUUUUUGUAUAUGGUCAACGUUAUGAAAUAUUUCAUUAAAUAGGUCGAAUUUGAAUAUAUUUAAAUCUUGAAGCAUUUGGUGUGUUGAAUCAUAUUUACCUCUGUUAGGAGAAGGUUUGUAUCACUAGCAAAUAAAACAUAACUAAACAUUA